CCCUUUUCCAGCGAGGCCCCGCCUCACGCCGUACAUCAGAUGCAGAGCUGAUGCUGGGGAUCCUACGCUAUCUAAUAGAUGUUGAUAGCUAUUAGAUGCACUGCAACAACUCACCAAAGGCUCCUGUGACAGCACCUCACAAAUCCCUGAUUUCUACCACCUAGAAGGACAAGGAUAUCAGAAGUACAGGAUGACCAUCACCAGGAAAUCCUCCAAGCCACACACCAUCCUUGACUUGGAACUAUACCACCAUUGUCACUGGGUCAAAAUCCUGGAACUCCCACUUUAAUAGUCAUGUGGAUCUACACCAUGUGGACUACAGUAGUUGAAGUAGGCAAUUCAAAGGCAUUUACAAAUCUGCAAUAAAUUCUGGCUUUGGAAGUGACACGCACAUCCUGUGAAGGAAUGAAUAAAAAUAAAUAAUUAUGUGGCCUUACGCUCUGAA